UACGUAGGGGGCAAGCGUUGUCCGGAAUUAUUGGGCGUAAGGAGCGUGUAGGCGGUCCGGUAAGUCAGCUGUGAAAGUCAAGGGCUCAACCCUUGAAUGCCGGUUGAUACUGUCGGGCUAGAGUCCGGAAGAGGCGAGUGGAAUUCCCGGUGUAGCGGUGAAAUGCGCAGAUAUCGGGAGGAACACCAAUGGCGAAGGCAGCUCGCUGGGACGGUACUGACGCUGAGACGCGAAAGCGUGGGAGCAAACAGG
rnacentral:rRNA from 1 species